GCCCCCAUGGUGUAGCGGUUAGCACGUCAGCCUUUCACGCUGAUAGCAGGGGUUCGAUUCCCCUUGGGGGUA
rnacentral:tRNA from 1 species